rnacentral:misc_RNA from 1 species
GAUUAAGAACGUAGCGAAAUGCGAUAAGUAAUGUGAAUUGCAGAAUUCAGUGAAUCAUCGAAUCUUUGAACGCACCUUGCGCCCUUUGGACAUUCCGAAGGGCAUGCCUGUUUGAGUAUCAUGAACACCUCAACUCUCACGGCUUGUCCGUGAUGAGCUUGGACUUUGGGGGUCUUGCCGGCCUGUGGUCGGCUCCUCUCAAAUGGAUCAGCUUGCCAGUGUUUGGUGGCAUCACAGGUGUGAUAACUAGCUGCGCUUGUGGUUUUCCAUCAGAUAACCUUCAGUGAUAUGGAGGUUCGCUGGAGCUCACAAAUGUCUCUCCUUAGUGAGGACAGCUCUUUGAACGUUUGAUCUCAAAUCAGGUAGGACUACCCGCUGAACUUAAGCAUAUCAAUAAGCGGAGGA